rnacentral:lncRNA from 10 species
AGUUCCCUAGCCCAGAAAAGCGGAUUGGAGCCCGGGAAGCUCAUUGCGAUUCCAAAGGUCACGCUGAUGCAAGAGAUGGGUUCCCAUGAUCUUGGGCAGCUCCACUCCUGUGGCUUUGCAGGGUACAGGCUUCCUCCUGGCUGCUUUCACGGGCUGGUGGUCCCAGUGACCUGCCGAGUGGGAAGAGCCGUGGCUGGCCGGCCUCCCAGUGGCGACGACGACCUCGCUGUGUUCGUGGCAGCGGCACUCUCAAAUCUGGGCACGGUGAUGGGAAGGUUAUUUGUUGGAAUCCCUUUGCCUUUCCAAGGGAAAAUAAACACAAAAAGUGAGAA